GACGAACGCUGGCGGCGUGCUUAACACAUGCAAGUCGAACGGAAAGGCCCUGCUUUUGUGGGGUGCUCGAGUGGCGAACGGGUGAGUAACACGUGAGUAACCUGCCCUUGACUUUGGGAUAACUUCAGGAAACUGGGGCUAAUACCGGAUAGGAGCUCCUGCUGCAUGGUGGGGGUUGGAAAGUUUCGGCGGUUGGGGAUGGUCUCGCGGCUUAUCCGCUGGUUGGUGGGGUAGUGGCUUACCAAGGCUUUGACGGGUAGCCGGCCUGAGAGGGUGACCGGCCACAUUGGGACUGAGAUACGGCCCAGACUCCUACGGGCGGCAGCGGUGGGGAAUAUUGCACAAUGGGCGGAAGCCUGAUGCAGCAACGCCGCGUGCGGAAUGACGGCCUUCGGGUUGUAAACCGCUUUCGCCUGUGACGAAGCGUGAGUGACGGUAAUGGGUAAAGAAGCACCGGCUAACUACGUG
rnacentral:rRNA from 1 species